AAACAACUGCGCCGGGCGAGGCUGGGGCGAGGCUAGGUCUCUCCGCCGCGCGUCCUGAGGAGUGGCUUUUGGUCCCUCAGCGAUUGUUGACCGUUUGCGGAGCGUCUGCAGUGCGCUAGACCCACACUGUCCACAACCCCGCUCCCCUACCUCCCCCGACACACACCGCGGGAAGAAGCCGUUUGGGAAGAAGUCGUUUGGGGCAUCUGAGCUUCAGAGAAGUUAAGCGAUUUACCAAAGGCAAUGGCAGGGGACAGAUUUGAAUUCACGUUUCUUAGAUUCCAGAGCGCAGCCUUUUUGCUCCCAAAGCAGCAAGACAGUUUUCUAGGAUUAAAUGGGAUAAUCAAAAUAAAGCAUUUCUUUAUUUUUUAUUUUUUGAGACGGAGUCUCGUUCUGUCACCCAGGCUGGAGUGCAGUGGCGCAAUUUCGGCUCACUGCAACUUCUGCCUUCCGCGUUACAGUGAUUCUCCUGCUUCAGCCUCCUGAGUAGCUGGGAUAGCAGGCGUGCACCACCACGCACAGCUAAUUUUUGUAUUUUUAGUAGAGACGGGGUUUCACCAUGUUGGCCAGGCUGCUCUCGAACUCCUGACCUCAGGUGAUCCGCCCGCCUGGCCUCCCAAAGUGCUAGGAUUACAGGCGUGAGCCACUGCUCCUGGCACAGAGUAAAACAUUUCACUUAAGGACUGGCACAGAGCGUACGCUUAGAUGUGAGCUGCUCAAAGGAAGCAUGGGUUGUUUCCUGGAGUAGAGGUGGGGGGAAUCCCCUGCAGAAGACCGCAACCGAGAGGGGCCUUGGGAAAUAGCAAGGAUUUGGACAGAUAAAGACGUGGGAGGUAGGAGAGAAGCCCUUCCCUACGGCCUUCCCCUCUCAUUUGCCUUGUCCCUGAGAUGGUUCAGCCCUCUCAGGCCUGAUCUUGCCUCUGGGUCAGAGUUUGACUUUGGAUUGUGUGUGGGGGGACAUUCUUAGGUGACCCACCUCCAUCUCCCCUAACACUCGGACCAGGUUCAGCUGUGGAAUUCACUCAGGGCAGUCCCUGAUGAGAGCUGUUUCCCACCUCAUCUCCAGAGACCACCUCCCAGGCCCUGCCAGCCUCCACGACAGAAAUCGAGGAAGCGUCUGAAGGGCCAGGUGCAGAUGAGGUGCAGGUGUUCGCUCCUGCCAACGCCCUGCCCGCCCGGAGUGAGGCGGCAGCUGUGCAGCCAGUGAUUGGGAUCAGCCAGCGGGUGCGGAUGAACUCCAAGGAGAAAAAGGACCUGGGAACUCUGGGCUACGUGCUGGGCAUUACCAUGAUGGUGAUCAUCAUUGCCAUCGGAGCUGGCAUCAUCUUGGGCUACUCCUACAAAAGGGGGAAGGAUUUGAAAGAACAGCAUGAUCAGAAAGUGUGUGAGAGGGAGAUGCAGCGAAUCACUCUGCCCUUGUCUGCCUUCACCAACCCCACCUGCGAGAUUGUGGAUGAGAAGACUGUCGUGGUCCACACCAGCCAGACUCCAGUUGACCCUCAGGAGGGCAGCACCCCCCUUAUGGGCCAGGCCGGGACUCCUGGGGCCUGAGCCCCCUCAGUGGGCAGGAGCCCAUGCAGACACUGGUGCAGGACAGCCCACCCUCCUACAGCUGGGAGGAUCUAUCACUUUGUGUUCUGGUUAAAACCCUACCAUUCCCCCCCUUUUUUGGUGAAUCCUAGUAAGUUACAGAAGCAGGUGGCACUGUGGGCUGAGGGUAAGGCUGGGUAGGGUCCUAACAGUGUUCCUUCUCCAUCCCUUGGAGCAGAUUUUGUCUGUGGAUGGAGACAGUGGCAGCUCCCACAGUGAUGCUGCUGCUAAGGGCUUCCAAACAUUGCCUGCACCCCUGGAACUGAACCAGGGAUAGAGAGGGAGCUCCCCCAGGCUCCUCUGUGCUUUACUAAGAUGGCCUCAGUCUCCACCAUGGGCUUGAGUGGCAUACACUGUUAUUCAUGGUUAAGGUAAAGCAGGUCAAGGGAUGGCACUGAAAAAAUAUAUUUAGUUUUUAAUAUAUUUGGGAUGGAACUCCCUACUGACCUCUGAGAACCGGAAAUGAGUUUGUACAGAAGUCAGAACUUUGGGUUGGGAAUGAGAUCUAGGUUGUGGCUGCUGAUAUGCUUCAGCUUGCUGGCAAUGAUGUGCCUUGACAACCGUGGGCCAGGCCUGGGCCCAGGGACUCUUCCUGUUUCAUAAGGAAAGGAAGAAUUGCACUGAGCAUUCCACUUAGGAAGAGGAUAGAGAAGGAUCUGCUCCGCCUUUGGCCACAGGAGCAGAGGCAGACCUGAGAUGCCCCAGUUUCUCUUCAGGGAUGGAUAGUGACCUGUCUUCAUUUUGCACAGGUAAGAGAGUAGUUAGCUAACCUAUGGGAAUUAUACUGUGGGGCCUUGUGAGCUGCUUCUAAGAGGCUAACCUGGAAACUAAGCUCAGAGGCAAGGUAAUAAAGCACUUCAGGGCUUGCUCCUGAAGUGGGCCUGAUUUAGCAGGUGGUCCUACGGGCGUCCAGGUCAGCACCUUCCUGUAGGGCAAUGGGGCUAGGGUCACAGCCCCUAACUUAUAAAGCAAUCAAAGAACCAUUAGAAAGGGCUCAUUAAGCCUUUUGGACACAGGGCCCCAGAGAGGAAAAAGUGACUUGCCCAAGGUCGUAAGCAAGCUACUGGCAUGACAAGAGCCCAGCUUCCUGAGUGCAACAUUUCUCCACUGCACUGUGCUAGCAGCUCAGCAGGGCCUCUAACCCGUGAUGUCACACUCAAGAGGCCUUGGCAGCCCCUAGCCAUAGAGCUUCCUUUCCAGAACCCUUCCACUGCCCAAUGUGGAGACGGGGGUUAGUGGGGCUUUCUAUGGAGCCAUCUGCUUUGGAGACCUAGACCACAGGGGGUCUCUUGGUGUUAGUGAUGCUGGAGAAGAGAAUAUUACUGGUUUCUACUUUUCUAUAAAGGCAUUUCUCUAUAUACAUGUUUUAUAUACCUCAUUCUGACACCUGCAUAUAGUGUGGGAAAUUGCUCUGCAUUUGACUUAAUUAAAAAAAAAAGACUCC
rnacentral:sRNA from 1 species